AAGUAGGUCAGCAUCUAGCCUGGCUCAGCAUUUGGCAAUCCACUGGCCAGAUGCUGUCACACAGCUUGGCUUCUUCCUGCCAACAGCUGGGUUAGGCUUCACAAUCACCUGAGUCAGCCCUGUAGGUUCUGCAGCUCUGGAUAGCUGUGACAAAGCUGCUUCAACCUGUGGGGUUUUUCCGCUUGAGUCUUCUGAACCUGGCAUCCACGGAGAUAAACACAUCAAAAUGAGGGUGUGAGAAUCUGGACCAACAUGGACUUGGGACAGGAUUUUGUCUGAGACGUUCACAACCUAAGAGGAAAAAAUAUAUCCAUGGAUUGUUAGAUGAAGAACUUCGGCUCAGAGAGUUUCAGCGUAUUUGUAAAGUUCAGGAUCUUAUCUAAAGUUUUCAAAAUAAGAAUGAUGUCUUCACACUUAAUGAAACAACCCUUCAUGGCUGGUCAAGAGGACUCAGGAGGUCGACUCUCCAGGCCCCUGGCAGUGCAGUAUGAAAUCCUGAGGAUGUUGACUCAAGUUCAUUGUUGUCCUGAAAAUACCACCGAUCAACUCAAGAAAUUCUAUGCCAGGACAGUGCCCCGAACCUGACAGUGGUGCGUCCUUAAACUGCCUCUGCAUACCUUGUAAUCCCUCCUCCUGUUCCUCCCCCAUCCACUGAUUCAAUUUAAGUUCACAGCCCUACACUGCUAGAGUUUAGGUUCACUUUAAGAAGGUUUCAACUGAAUAAUUAAAACUUAGAAGAUAUUCUGUACACAUCCAAAAGAAAGGAAAAUUAAAAAUAAAUGAAAAUUAAAAAGAAGUGCAAGAAGACAGCCUGACAAUGAGACAAACCUAGAUUAGAAAUUACACAUAUUGCUUCACAUCUCUGAGCCUUUUUACCUACUUAUCUACAAUAUAUGGAUAAAGAUUCAUACCUCCCAAGUUAUCAUGGAAAUUAAAUGACAUUAUAUGUAAAGAUUCUGGUGAAUGCUAC
rnacentral:lncRNA from 1 species